CCUACGGGUGGCAGCAGUCGAGAAUCAUUCACAAUGGGGGAAACCCUGAUGGUGCGACGCCGCGUGGGGGAAUGAAGGUCUUCGGAUUGUAAACCCCUGUCAUGUGGGAGCAAAUUAAAAAGAUAGUACCACAAGCGGAGGAGACCGCUAACUCUGUGCCAGCAGCCGCGGUAAUACGGAGGUCUCAAGCGUUGUUCGGAUUCACUGGGCGUAAAGCGUGCGGCGGCUGUUUCGUAAGUCGUUUGUGAAAGGCCGGGGCUCAACCCUCGGACUGCACAUGAGCCUGCGAGACUAGGGUAAUGGAGGGGUAACUGGAAGUCCCGGUGUAGCAGUGAAAUGCGUAGAUAUCGAGAGGAACACCCGUGGCGAAGGCGGGUUCCUGGACAUUAACUGACGCUGAGGCACGAAGGCCAGGGGAGCGAACGGGAUUAGAUACCCCGGUAGUC
rnacentral:rRNA from 1 species